rnacentral:rRNA from 1 species
CCUACGGGAGGCAUCAGUGAGGAAUAUUGGUCAAUGGACGAGAGUCUGAACCAGCCAUGUAGCGUGAAGGAUGACUGCCCUAUGGGUUGUAAACUUCUUUUAUAUGGGAAUAAAAUGUUCCACGUGUGGGAUUUUGUAUGUACCAUAUGAAUAAGGAUCGGCUAACUCCGUGCCAGCAGCCGCGGUAAUACGGAGGAUCCGGGCGUUAUCCGGAUUUAUUGGGUUUAAAGGGAGCGUAGGUGGAUUGUUAAGUCAGUUGUGAAAGUUUGCGGCUCAACCGUAAAAUUGCAGUUGAAACUGGCAGUCUUGAGUACAGUAGAGGUGGGCGGAAUUCGUGGUGUAGCGGUGAAAUGCUUAGAUAUCACGAAGAACUCCGAUUGCGAAGGCAGUUCACUGGACUGCAACUGACACUGAGGCUCGAAAGUGUGGGUAUCAAACAGGAUUAGAUACCCGAGUAGUC